rnacentral:rRNA from 1 species
GAUCAAGCUACAAAGAGCGUAUGGAGGAUGCCUUGGCACUAAACGCCGAUGAAGGACGCGACAAACUGCGAAAAGCCACGGUGAGCUGUUAAUAAGCAUUAUCAGCCGUGGGUCUCCGAAUGUGGAAACACACUUGGGCAAUACCCAAGUAUCAUAACAGGAAUACAUACUGUUAUGAAGGGAACCUAGGGAACUGAAACAUCUAAGUACCUAGAGGAAAAGAAAGUAAAUAACGAUUCCCAGAGUAGUGGUGAGCGAAAUGGGAGGAGCCCAAACCUAUGGUAGUAAUACCGUAGGGGUUCGGACCGCAACAUAGAAUGUGUAUCAUAGACGAAGAUGGUUGGAAAGCCACAUGACACAGGGUAAUAGUCCCGUAGUCGAAAUGAGAAGCAUAUUA